UACGUAGGGGGCAAGCGUUGUCCGGAAUCAUUGGGCGUAAAGCGCGUGUAGGCGGUUCAGUAAGUCUGCUGUGAAAGUCCAGGGCUCAACCCUGGGAUGCCGGUGGAUACUGCUGGGCUAGAGUACGGAAGAGGCGAGUGGAAUUCCCGGUGUAGCGGUGAAAUGCGCAGAUAUCGGGAGGAACACCAAUUGCGAAGGCAGCUCGCUGGGACGUUACUGACGCUGAGACGCGAAAGCGUGGGGAGCGAACAGG
rnacentral:rRNA from 1 species